UACAGAGGGUGCGAGCGUUAAUCGGAAUUACUGGGCGUAAAGCGUGCGUAGGCGGAUAUUUAGGUCGAAUGUGAAAUCCCCGGGCUUAACCUGGGAACUGCAUCCGAUACUGGGUAUCUAGAGUAUGGUAGAGGAAAGUGGAAUUCCCGGUGUAGCGGUGAAAUGCGUAGAUAUCGGGAGGAACAUCAGUGGCGAAGGCGACUUUCUGGACCAAUACUGACGCUGAGGCACGAAAGCGUGGGGAGCAAACAGG
rnacentral:rRNA from 1 species